rnacentral:lncRNA from 1 species
AGCUGGGAACAUAGAUGGCUGUGUUUUCACAGACCUUCCUUCCCUUGAUUAAUUUUUGGGAUAGACUCUUUCAGAGCAGGUUAUUUAAGGAUUUAGAGCUUGUUCCAAGGCCCAUUGAAGCCAAUGGAAAUCUCUCUAUUGUCACUGAUAGGCUCGGGACCAGGCCACUAGCCCUGAGUGCUUAGGAUAGAGACAUUUAAGGUGCAAGUGAUGAAAGACCUGAUGUUGAGCAGAAAUCCAUUAACACCUCCAAGAAACAAGGCCGAGGGCCUUUAAGUACCAAAUCAGGGACAGAUUUUGAAAGGCCACUAAACAUGAGGAUGAUAUCUGUGGGAGUUGGCAUGGAAGGGACAGUAAUAACUUUUGAAGAGCUACUUCCCCCACAGCAUCCUACCAGCCAGUCCCAGCCCAACCAGUGCCUGUGUCUGGGAGACAAUUUAGUUACUUCCACACUUUCCUGGAAAGAUUUUGCCUGGCACACUCCUGUCUCAGCAGGAAAGGGAUUGCUCCAGGCUAGUUUUGAUAGAAGAAUUUGUUCCUCAAAAGAAGCAAGGAUUUUCCACCAGUACUUCAAGGACCAUCAGCUGAUGCAAACAGAUUCACUGGUGCUCAGUGGAUCUGAAGGGGUCAAAUAGGUGCUGCUGCCAUCUUUAAGGAAAUUUCAGCAUCUGUGCUUCCUGCUGCCCAGUGGGAACUGUGAAUUGGGCAGUGAACCCUAUAGAAAUGGGUUCACAGGAGGCUGGUCCUCCUCCUGGGGUUGUAUAUUUAUGGUCAAGUACAUGGCCGGAUGAGAUAUUAUGACAUCAUGGGUUUUGCCAAGCCCUUCUCAGCUUUGCUAGUCCAGGUAACAGGACUUUCCCUCAGUGGGAGCAGAGAAUAACUUUGGUACAAGCUGCCCUGCUGAAGAGGUACAGAGGUUAAUCUAUGAAAUUGGAAGAGAAGGUUUUAGUCUCUUCCCACUCAGAAAUCAUUCAUGUAAUUGUACCUCACACCUAGACUAACACCCUACCUCACCUUAGCUGUAACUGAAAAAAAAAAAAAAAAAAAAGCAGUAUCAGCAUGCUAGAGGCACGACUAUAUCAAAAGUUUAGAGUGAAGUACAGGCAUUUUGCCUUUGGGCACCCAAACUGAGGCAUCUAAAGUGACUGGUAUCCGGUCAGUUGGUACUCAGAAGUUUCUAAAAAUCAGCACGUGGAAAUACCGAAGAAAAGAUCACAAAUUUAAGAACCUUUCUGUCUAAAACCCGUUCUCACUGGGUAAUUUUGGAACAACUUCCACACCCCCACUCCAAAAUGCUUUUAGGAGAUUGAAAUAACCAUGGAAACACUUUGCAUUUGAGGUCAGAGACAAAACUGCUCCAAAACUGACACCUUACCUACCAUGUUCCCAGUCUGGUGGAAAUACUGCAUCUGAAAUUGAAAGGUUUAUGUUGAAAAUGUUGACACAGCCCUAAAUUGGAGUGAUGUGGGUGUCAGGGAGGAGCAUGGGGGUGAGGGCUUUUUGAAUCAGUCCUUCUUUUAAUCCUUGGAAAGGGCCUGUAGAAAAGAUUCAUUUUCUAUAUCGAGUUUCAUUCAUUGAAAGGAUUCCAAAGAUAAAACUCAUAAACUGUGCAAACACAGAUACAAUGUGGGUGAAAGGGUUAAGGGACUGAAGAAGACUCAGUAAUUCUCACAAAUGGGGACCAGAUGUUGUUUGACAUUUUAAAAACAUGCAGUCUCCUCUACCCCUACUUACCUUUCUGAUACUGUGAAUUGUUCAGUUGAGAUCAAUGAGGAAUUACUGAACACGUAGUUUAUUUUCCAUGGUGUCUUCUGUUUGUUUCAAAAAACACAUGGGGAAAAGAAUAAGGAUGCAUUAAUAAUAGCAAGAGCCACUCUCAGCUGGCAUAAAUUGGCAUGGUUCCACCAAAGUCAAUAGGAGAGCUCUGAUUUACAGCAGAUGGGCUUUUGUCCAUCAGUGCGAUAUCCUAUACCAAGCGAUAUGACAAGAGCUGUUUACAGACUAUGUCAUGUUGUUCAAUAUUAUGGCUGAGAAGGGCUGUGCCAGGUCAAAUGCUGUGGUGGAAAGUACGCCAAUACAGAACCACAGCUGUAUACACAGGAGUUUUAAAAUCCCAGGAGAAAAGAGUUGCACAUCUAAGAAUGAGAAUAAAGGUGCCAAUAGUAUUGGUCA